rnacentral:rRNA from 1 species
GAUGAACGCUAGCGGCAGGCCUAAUACAUGCAAGUCGAACGGGAUCCAGAUGAAAGCUUGCUGAUUCUGGUGAGAGUGGCGCAGGGGUGCGUAACGCGUGAGCAACCUACCCAUAUCAGGGGGAUAGCCCGAAAAAAUUCGGAUUAACACCGCAUAAUACUAUUUGAUGGCAUCAUCGAAUAUUUAAAUAUUUAUAGGAUAUGGAGGGGCUCGCGUGACAUUAGCUAGUUGGUAAGGUAACGGCUUACCAAGGCAACGAUGUCUAGGGGCUCUGAGAGGAGAAUCCCCCACACUGGUACUGAGACACGGACCACACUCCUACGGGAGGCAGCAGUAAGGAAUAUUGGUCAAUGGAGGGAACUCUGAACCACCCAUGCCGCGUGCAGGAUGACUGCCCUAUGGGUUGUAAACUGCUUUUAUCUAGGAAUAAACCUAAGUACGUGUACUUAGCUGAAUGUACUAGAAAAAUAAGGAUCGGCUAACUCCGUGCCAGCAGCCGCGGUAAUACGGAGGAUCCGAGCGUUAUCCGGAUUUAUUGGGUUUAAAGGGUGCGUAGGCGGCCUAUUAAGUCAGGGGUGAAAGACGGCAGCUCAACUGUCGCAGUGCCUUUGAUACUGAUGGGCUUGAAUGUGGUUGAAGAUGGCGGAAUGAGACAAGUAGCGGUGAAAUGCAUAGAUAUGUCUCAGAACACCGAUUGCGAAGGCAGCUGUCUAAGUCAUAAUUGACGCUGAUGCACGAAAGCGUGGGGGAUCGAACAGGAUUAGAUACCCUGGUAGUCCACGCCCUAAACGAUGAUAACUCGAUGUUUGCGAUACACAGUAAGCGUCUUAGCGAAAGCGUUAAGUUAUCCACCUGGGGAGUACGCCCGCAAGGGUGAAACUCAAAGGAAUUGACGGGGGCCCGCACAAGCGGAGGAGCAUGUGGUUUAAUUUGAUGAUACGCGAGGAACCUUACCCGGGCUUGAAAGUUAGUGAAUGAGACAGAGACGUCUCAGUGGUUUACCACACGAAACUAGGUGCUGCAUGGCUGUCGUCAGCUCGUGCCGUGAGGUGUUGGGUUAAGUCCCGCAACGAGCGCAACCCCUAUGUUUAGUUGCCAGCAUGUUAUGGUGGGGACUCUAAACAGACUGCCUGCGCAAGCAGAGAGGAAGGUGGGGAGGACGUCAAGUCAUCAUGGCCCUUACGUCCGGGGGUACACACGUGCUACAAUGGAUGGUACAGCGGGCAGCUACCUGGUAACAGGAUGCUAAUCUCGAAAAGCCAUUCACAGUUCGGAUUGAGGUCUGCAACUCGACCUCAUGAAGUUGGAUUCGCUAGUAAUCGCGUAUCAGCAAUGACGCGGUGAAUACGUUCCCGGGCCUUGUACACACCGCCCGUCAAGGGCG